rnacentral:rRNA from 1 species
UACGAAGGGGGCUAGCGUUGCUCGGAAUUACUGGGCGUAAAGCGCACGUAGGCGGCUUUUUAAGUCGGAGGUGAAAUCCUGGAGCUCAACUCCAGAACUGCCUUCGAUACUGAAGAGCUCGAGUCCGGGAGAGGUGAGUGGAACUGCGAGUGUAGAGGUGAAAUUCGUAGAUAUUCGGAAGAACACCAGUGGCGAAGGCGGCUCACUGGCCCGGUACUGACGCUGAAAUACGAAAGCGUGGGGAGCAAACAGG